UAAUAUAUAUAAUUCAUUAUUGUGUUAAUAAAUUUCUUAUAAACAAAGUUGCAUAUUGAAUUAAAUAACAAAAAUUGAAUUACAAACAAAAUUUACAAAUAAAAAACAAUAAAAUCCACAAAUCUAUAGUGAACUCCCUCUUGCAAAGCUUAGCAGGAAUGGUAGUACUUAUGAUUACCCGGAUGUGAUGGUUGCGGACCUUGUGAUGAGAAGCCGUCACACUCACCUGAGAACACCUCCUUGAAUCCAACUGAGGAUCAUUAACGACCCUAGCUUCCUGAAGAACUGCUCCUUUCUU
rnacentral:lncRNA from 1 species